CCCUUAGAUGUUCUGGGCCGCACGCGCGCUACACUGACGAUGGCAACGAGUUUUUCCUUCGCCGAAAGGUGUGGGUAAUCUUUUGAAACAUCGUCGUGCUGGGGAUAGAUCAUUGCAAUUUUUGAUCUUGAACGAGGAAUUCCUAGUAAGCGCGAGUCAUCAGCUCGCGUUGAUUACGUCCCUGCCCUUUGUACACACCGCCCGUCGCUACUACCGAUUGAACGUUUUAGUGAGGCAUUUGGACCGACGCAUCUCAGUUUAACCGCUGGUUUGUGUUGGAAAGACUUCCAAACUUGAGCGUUUAGAGGAAGUAAAAGUCGUAACA
rnacentral:rRNA from 1 species